rnacentral:rRNA from 1 species
UACGAAGGGGGCUAGCGUUGUUCGGAAUUACUGGGCGUAAAGCGCACGUAGGCGGCCAACUAAGUCGGAUGUGAAAUCCCCAGGCUCAACUUGGGAACUGCAUCCGAUACUGGAUGGCUUGAAUUCGGGAGAGGGAUGCAGAAUUCCAGGUGUAGCGGUGAAAUGCGUAGAUAUCUGGAGGAAUACCGGUGGCGAAGGCGGCAUCCUGGACCGACAUUGACGCUGAGGAGCGAAAGCUAGGGGAGCAAACGGG